rnacentral:rRNA from 1 species
GAGAGUUAAACAGUACGUGAAAUUGUUGAAAGGGAAACGAUUGAAGUCAGUCAUACCAACGGGAAAUCAACCUCUUGAGUUUGGUCUCGUGGGUUUCGAAGAGUUUAAAAGCCUUCGGUAGAUGUGAUGAUCGAGAUUGAGGAUUGCAACGGAUACCCUUCGGGGCUACCUGUCUGAUCUCUGAUCGUUGCUCUGGUGCUGAAAGCUUGCUUACGGUUAUCAAAGUCAAUGGUCAAUAGGUUAGAACGGGUUAAAUUCGUUAAGGAUGUUGACGUAAUGGCUUUAAACGA